rnacentral:pre_miRNA from 1 species
UCUUAUGGAUGAGCAAAGGAAGUGGUUUCUGGAGAUGGAAUCUCCCUCUGGGGAAGAUGCUGUGAC